CAAUAGUCGCUUUUUGCGACAGCAAUUCCUAUCUCAAAAAGAUGGAAGGAUAUGUUGGAUGGUUUUUGCGAUGGCAAAUUAUUAGUCGUCGUAAAAGCCUAUUUUUUUGAGAUGACUUUUUUCCCGUCGCAAAAGAUUUUUUUUUUGGCAUGGCCUUCGUUGUGUCGUGGCUAAUAGACCAAAAAAAAAAAGCGCUUCUUGUUUUUUUCUCUAUCACGCCUCUGUCUCCGUCACGCCCUCCUCCUCCUCUCUCUCGCUCCACCACUAUCGGUAUAGGAGCACACGACCACCACUGCCAUUGAUAUCACCAUCGCAAACCAGCAGCGCCUGAUGGCAACACUCGCAGUUACGGAAAACAUCAGAGGCAAAUCCGAAAUACAAAAAUUAACGGCCUCUCUCACCUUUACGCGAUCGUUCGUUCGUUCGUUCGUUCGUGUCGAGUGUUUUCGUGAUAGAGAACGAGGAAGCAAGGAACUCCCGAAGCGUAGAGAGAGAAUCUAGAGAGAGAAAGAGAGAAAAUUGGGGCUGAGGAGGGAAAAAAGUUACAGAAGGUUUUCUCGUUGUUUUUUGGUUUCUCUCAGAGGUUAAAGCCUCUGUAACAAUUCCAAUGUGUUUCUAGACCCCAUCAUUACCUUCAUUUUCCAUUUCCAUUACCGUUUCCAGAGAGAAAAUCCCGAGGAAAAGUGAGGAAGAUAUAGAGAGAGUCGUCUUUGGUGCGAGUUUAUCGAUUUUGGGGGCAAAAAUUGGAUCUUGUAGGUUAUUCACAUUGUGGGUAUAUUGGAAAGAAUCAAUGGGUUCGCCUACAUUGUGCUUUUGAAGGAAAUUUAGGGUUUGAUCACUCUCAAUUUGAUUGAUUUGUGAGAAAAAUGGUAUUCACUUCCAAUUGAUUUUUGCAACUAUUUUGUUUUUCAUUUUUUUUUGAAUUUUGAUGAUUUUUGAGUUAUAUUUGCUGACCUUAGUUGGUAAUGGGAGCAAAACAGUCUCCCAUUUCACCAAGUGAUGCUGACGUGAGCACCACCGUCUACAAUCUCAGUUUCGUAUUCUCUUUCUUCCCAUCAAUUUUUCAAGGUGAUACUGUUCAAUCAAAGUUAUGAAGGUUCUGAUUGCAAGGGAAGCUUUGUUCUUACAACUUGAAUAGAAUUUUUUUUGGGAAUUUCAUGAUGGCAAUAUUUGUUUGGUUUUAAUUCCAUCCAUAUCUCUUUCUUGUUGUGUUGGUUUAUUGCAGUAUAAAUGCUCAUCAAGGUCACUGUAAAUAUAUGAAGACAUGUACAUGUAUAAGAAGUAAAUAAUCUAUAUAUCUGUAUAUGUGUAAACAUGUAUUUAUGAUUUUUGUACCCUUGCUGUCUCGGUUUCCUACUUGUAGAAUUUUCGAUAUCUGCAUUUCCAUGUUGUUGUAUGUCUGUUUUUUGUGCGAAGUGUCUGGUGUUUAUUUCCAUGCUAUUUAUGCCAAAUGUUAUUCACAUGCUUGGAAAUUGUUGGGUGCUCAUGGUAGGAGUAUGAAUUAUUGAGUUCCAAGAAGCUUCAUAUAAAUUUGUGGUCCAUAGAUUGGAAUUUUUCUUAGCUGGUAACUUUUUAAUUUGAAAAAGUUGCUUUAGGGCCUAAGAGUUGAUUGGUUAUAUGCUUACUUGUCAAACCCAAGAUAUUGAUGCAUACAUUUAUGCUUCUUGAUCUUUGGGGCUGAACUGCAAUGAAGUGGUGAAUUAAGUAGUUAAAUUAAGGGUGUUGGAUCGAGUUUUACUAUCUCUCCUAAAAUUAAUUGGUGUUAUAGAGUGUUUCACUUUUGUCUUUUAUGGAGUUUGACAUCGUGCUCCGCAGAAUUGUUUUUAGAGCAAUCGUAGGGAGCGGGUAUUGUGUAUCAACAAAGGGAAAUGGAUUUAGAUUUAAAUUUAGAUCUAGAAAAAAAAAGGGAAAAGAAAAAAGACAAAAGAAGCUAUUAGAGCUUGGUUUGUGCAUUGAUUUUGUUAAUGUAAAGGGCUAUGAACGAUUUAAUGGGAGAAUAAAGUCAGCACUUUUAAAGAUUUCAGAUAUAAAGAUUGGGAAAAAUAAUCUACUCCAUGGCUUGAUCGAGAGCCACUAUUGGAUCAAUGGAAAGGUCUAGAGUCAUUCAUCAAGAAAAUCAAGAACUGUAAUGUCUUAUGACAAUAAGGGACAAUGUGGGAUCCUCUGUUCCCUUGUCCCAAAACACUCAUAGGUGUUGAGUUAUACAUCAAGAUUCUUGUUAUUUAAGAUUCUCACAUAAUUCAAUAGUUGCAAGUGUCUUGGGAUAGGGAGACAGAGAGAUUUGCGGGCACAGGAUGAUCCUUGGCCAUUAGGGGUCCUCUUUAUAAAUGAUAAUUAAGAGCAUAGGCAAAGCUUGUAAACAUUUUCCACCGCUAAUAUUACCAAAAUAGAUAGAAGUUCCCAAGCAACUAAAUUAGUUGGAUUGCACUUCUAAACUAACUCAACUUAGAAUGCAUAGAAUUCUAAAAUUCUAGCUUGAAAACUAAUAAUCUUGGUGUAUCGAUAUUAUAGAUAAAUUGUUACUGUCAUGCUUGUCUUGUUAUUUAUAUCAUGCUACAGAGUUAAGAUUAGAGUUUGGAUUAUUUAGUGAGGUUUUUGAUCCCUUUUCUUAUAUUUGUAUAAUAUUGAGCUAUAUAUAUCAUAGCUCUUUAAGGAGACUUCUGAUGAUUUAAAAGUUUUCUUCGGCUUUGGUAUUCUUUUCAUUUAGUGCCAACAGGAGGUUUUUCACCAAGUUUAUUUUCAAGCCUUCAACAGUGAUUCAGGUAUGAGACUGCUCUUGAUUGCGUCAAAUUUGCGACAAAUGACUAAUAAGACGACAUCUAAAAGGAAAACCAAAGCAUCAAACUCAUAGCUAAUGGUGCAUUUUAUUUUUUGUUUUUUAUUAUUAUUAUUAUUAUUAUUAUUAUUAUUAUUAUUAUUUUUGUUUUAUUAUGAUAUUGUGGUGGCUUAAGUGGAGGAGUAUGUCUGGGUACGAUGAUUUAGCUGUGAGCAAGUUCUUUGCCAUUUCUUGAAUUUUCUGGAACUUACAUUUUAACUGCUCUUAUGAUCAAAUUACAGGAAUAAUGAAGGACAUUGAUUAUAGCAAGAUAUUGAAGUUCAAUUAUAGGAACAACUCAUGUUUUCUAUAGAAAGUUGUUCAGAGAAGUAAGCAAUUCUUCAUUGGAUCAUGAUACACCUUCUAAAUAAGGAAAUUACCUCGACUCAGUUCCUUCUGCUUUCUACUGCUUCUGAGGCAAGUGAACACAAACUGACGUUAUAUUUGUUUUUUAUAUGGGUAUCUUCUUGGAUUACAUUUAAAUUUAAUUGUAUUAUCAUAUCAAACCACUCCUAGCUGUUAGUGCAAUUUUAAUGAGAUGAACUUUGUUUCAAUUUCUAACCGUGCUUUUAUUAUGCAAAAAGAACUUAAUUUCAGAAAUAAGAGCCAGCUGGUACUGUUGUUCUACCAAUUUUUUUUUUCUUUUUCCCUGAAGCAUGUACUCUUUCUUGUUAGUUCUUAUAGCAAGUGCUCAUGUUAGAUUUUUUAUUUUACGUUCUUAAAUCCUGUAGUUAGUUUUUGCACGAUAACCAUUGCUUAUCUACUAUUUUUUGUGUAAGGCUUAUACUCGGGAGUUUGUGGAAGUGGUCUAUGCUUGUUGGGUAAUAUUCUUUGAUUCAGAGCAGUAACUAAUCAAACUUGCACAAGACCUUACUAGGGGCGAAAAAGCUACUGGUUUGGAAACACCAUCCCGAGGUAUAAAAAUAGUUAGAGAAGUUGUUAGAAGAUAUAUUGUGUGGUGUUCGAUUCAUAUAUAUGUUAUAAUCUUAUUUAUUGAAAUAAAUAUCAAAUGUUUUACAUUUUUUUUAAGGUUGAAAUUAAUUAUAUUGUAAAUAAUUAAUUCUUUUUCUUUUUCUUUUUGCAAAUGCUAUCUUUUGAGUACA